rnacentral:rRNA from 1 species
CGGGGCUAAAAGUCUUGUAAUUGGAAUGAUGGGAAUUUAAACCUCUUCCAGAGUAUCAAUUGGAGGGCAAGUCUGGUGCCAGCAGCCGCGGUAAUUCCAGCUCCAAUAGCGUAUAUUAAAAUUGUUGCAGUUAAAAAGCUCGUAGUUGAAUUUCUGCUGCAUUGCUUGUGUCCCUCUGGGGUCUGUGCAUGUGGCUUUUUUCGGACGGAGUUUCUUUGUCUGAAUGUUUACUUUGAGAAAAUUAGAGUGCUCAAAGCAGGCUUUCGCCUUGAAUAGUUUAGCAUGGAAUAAUAAAGUAGGACUUUGGUUCUAUUUUGUUGGUUUUAGGUACCAAAGUAAUGGUUAAUAGGAACAGUUGGGGGCAUUCGUAUUUAACUGUCAGAGGUGAAAUUCUUAGAUUUGUUAAAGACGAACUACUGCGAAAGCAUUUGCCAAGGAUGUUUUCAUUAAUCAAGAAC